UGGGGAAUAUUGCACAAUGGGCGCAAGCCUGAUGCAGCCAUGCCGCGUGUAUGAAGAAGGCCUUCGGGUUGUAAAGUACUUUCAGCGGGGAGGAAGGGAGUAAAGUUGAUACCUUUGCUCAUUGACGUUACCCGCAGAAGAAGCACCGGCUAACUCCGUGCCAGCAGCCGCGGUAAUACGGAGGGUGCAAGCGUUAAUCGGAAUUACUGGGCGUAAAGCGCACGCAGGCGGUUUGUUAAGUCAGAUGUGAAAUCCCCGGGCUCAACCUGGGAACUGCAUCUGAUACUGGCAAGCUUGAGUCUCGUAGAGGGGGGUAGAAUUCCAGGUGUAGCGGUGAAAUGCGUAGAGAUCUGGAGGAAUACCGGUGGCGAAGGCGGCCCCCUGGACGAAGACUGACGCUCAGGUGCGAAAGCGUGGGGAGCAAACAGG
rnacentral:rRNA from 1 species